AACGAACGCUGGCGGCAGGCUUAACACAUGCAAGUCGAGCGCCCCGCAAGGGGAGCGGCAGACGGGUGAGUAACGCGUGGGAAUCUACCCAUCUCUACGGAAUAACGCAUGGAAACGUGUGCUAAUACCGUAUACGUCCUUCGGGAGAAAGAUUAUCGGAGAUGGAUGAGCCCGCGUUGGAUUAGCUAGUUGGUGGGGUAAAGGCCUAACAAGGCGACGAUCCAUAGCUGGUCUGAGAGGAUGAUCAGCCACACUGGGACUGAGACACGGCCCAGACUCCUACGGGAGGCAGCAGUGGGGAAUAUUGGACAAUGGUCGCAAGCCUGAUCCAGCCUUGCCGCGUGAGUGAUGAAGGCCCUAGGGUUGUAAAGCUCUUUCACCGGUGAAGAUAAUGACGGUAACCGGAGAAGAAGCCCCGGCUAACUUCGUGCCAGCCGCCGCCGUAAUAC
rnacentral:rRNA from 1 species